GAGUUUGAUCGUGGCUCAGAGCGAACGCUGGCGGCAGGCCUAACACAUGCAAGUCGAGCGCCCAGCAAUGGGAGCGGCAGACGGGAGAGUAACACGUGGGAACAUGCCCUUCAGUUCGGAACAACCCAGGGAAACUUGGGCUAAUACCGGAUACGCCCUUACGGGGAAAGAUUUAUCGCUGAAGGAUUGGCCCGCGUCUGAUUAGCUAGUUGGUGGGGUAACGCCUACCAAGGCUACGAUCAGUAGCUGGUCUGAGAGGACGACCAGCCUCACUGGGACUGAGACACGGCCCAGACUCCUACGGGAGGCAGCAGUGGGAAUAUUGGACAAUGGGCGCAAGCCUGAUCCAGCCAUGCCGCGUGGAUGAUGAAGGCCCUAGGGUUGUAAAGUCC
rnacentral:rRNA from 1 species